rnacentral:lncRNA from 1 species
AGAAACAAAUUGCAAAAUGUGCUCUAGUAGUAAGAAAUGGCCUUUUAGCCGUCAUAUCCAUGUUCAGAUCUCCAUGAGAGCAUUUUCUGAAUUUUUUUUUCAUCAAUGGCAAAAUCGUAAGUACAUCAUCUUCUACCUCACGAUUCGUUUUUUCCUGUAAAAAUGCUACCGUUGUCAAUCAUGGUUUCGGUCUUAAAUAACCAAACUUUGUGUGUGUUUCAUGUUAUUUUAAAAUCAAAAUUAUAGAUCUAUUUGGUAUUAAUCGAUUUCAGACAUUAAACCUCAAAAAAUGAGAUCUUGAUGAAUCCGAAUUAGGGAUCUUCAACGUACGGUGACUAAGAAGAAACCCGGCGGCAGCUGGUUGAUACGGCGGAGGUGGCCGGGAUAUAAUAGAUACAGACCAGGUGAUAAUGGUGUUGUGAUCGUUGGUGGUUGUGGGUUUGGGUCCGACGGUGAUUUGGGUCUGGUGGAUUGGAAUGGAGGAAACAGAGACAGGGGUUAAGGAUAUGGGUGAGGUGGUGGUGGUUGUGAAUACACGUUUAGGUAGAAGGAAUAAGGGAAGAGAAAGAGAAAAAUAUUAUAAAUUCAAUUUCUUUAGUUAAGUGAUUUUUCUAAAGGAUGUAACUAAAUUAGUUAGAAGAGAAGAGAAAGUUAAAAAUAAGUGUCUCAAGAGUGAAAUGUGUCUUAGAGUGUAAUAUAAAAGAUGAAAUGUGACUCUAAGUGUAAAUCUUUCUUCAAUAUAUUGUCCUAUCUAGUUCACUG